GACGAACGCUGGCGGCGUGCUUAACACAUGCAAGUCGAACGGAAAGGCCCUGCUUUUGUGGGGUGCUCGAGUGGCGAACGGGUGAGUAACACGUGAGUAACCUGCCCUUGACUUUGGGAUAACUUCAGGAAACUGGGGCUAAUACCGGAUAGGAGCUCCUGCUGCAUGGUGGGGGUUGGAAAGUUUCGGCGGUUGGGGAUGGACUCGCGGCUUAUCAGCUUGUUGGUGGGGUAGUGGCUUACCAAGGCUUUGACGGGUAGCCGGCCUGAGAGGGUGACCGGCCACAAUGGGACUGAGAUAGGGACCAGACUCCUACGGGAGGCAGCAGUGGGGAAUAUUGCACAAUGGGCGGAAGCCUGAUGCAGAAACGCCGCGUGCGGGAUAACGGCCUUCGGGUUGUAAACCGCUUUCGCCUGUGACGAAGAGUGAGUGACGGUAAUGGGUAAAGAAGCACCGGCUAACUACGUG
rnacentral:rRNA from 1 species